GUUACUAGAACAAGAUCAUGUGUUCCAGCUUAACUAUUGUCUGCAUCAAGGUGUUAAUAUUUUCUCCCAAGUUUUUCUGUCUGAAGUCCACUACAGUCCUGAUGAUGUAUUUGAAGCACCUUUUUUGACCAUAACAAACAAAACUUCAAAACUAGAUUCUUGGUGUAUUUUAUUAACUUAGGUGGAGCAAAAAACAGAAGAGGCACAGAAAGACCAAGAAUAUACAUUUUAAGAGUCACCAAGUUAUAUCAUUGGGCAAAUUCUCUUAUGAGAUUUAGAUUAAACCACAACAUUUGGGUUCUAUUUAUGAUUUGUUCUGACACUUUCCUGCACAACAAAAAAAAUAUUAUGUGAAUAUAAAAACACUGACAGAAAAAACAGGUUUACCUAUAGAUUGAAAUGUUUGUUCUCUGAAGGAACAAUCACCACAGUAUCCACAACAUUCCAGUUUUCCCUGGCUUGGGCCAUCUUGCCUCCAAGAGCCAUCCCAGCCAGCAUCUCCCACACGGUAGAAGGCAGGAGCAGAGGGGCUGUGGAGAUGAGAAAUGGUGCUUGCAGGUGCAGGCAGGGACACGUACCAACGAAACUCCCGUAAAAUGAGGAUAAAAAAAGAGAAAAAAGGCUUACCUAGUGUGUCCUGCUUGCCUGUGGCUACUGCAGCUGGACAACUCUGUUGCCAGCGUCCACCACCACAAGAUGGCUGCCGCCGCCUCAGGGCACCUUGUGCCCACCAUGGAGGGACAGCCAGGCUCCCUCCCGUCACAGCCCCACUGAGGGACAGCCAGGCUCCCUCUCCCCACAGGUGCUGUCCCAGCCCCACUGAGGGACAGCCAGACUCCCUCCUGUCCCAGCCCCACUGAGGGACAGCCAGACUCCCUCUCCCCACGAGUGCUGUCCCAGCUCCCCCAGCAAUCCCCACCCAUCGCGAGGCUCCCUCAGAGGGGCAGCAGGGAGGCUCUGUCCCGGGGCAGGCACUGAGGGCCCCUGUCCCCAGCUCCCAUCAGCUGAUCUCACCCCCAGCACUGCUCCACACAAGACCUGCCCCUGGGGCUGCCUCACGCCAGAAAGAGCUCCCCAGCUGCCCCAGCUCAUUUUGCACCCUAAGCACAGCUAAGUUCCCCUCUCCUCUACCCUCAUUAGCAUUAGGAUUUGUGGGGUUUCUUAAUGUACUUCAGCAUCACACACAUAGGCAGAUAUGGCAUUUCCCUCACACCAGGUAUCCUGGCUGCUUGCUCACCUGCCCAAAUUUCAUGCUCCCCUGCCAACUGGCCAAGGCGGCAGUGCUGGGAAGAAGUGUGGGAGGGAGCCUGGAAACAUGCAGAGCCUUCAGCCCACCCAUCCCGCUGCCCACUGAGUCGAGACCUCCAAAACCUGCAAUUCCAGGACUGUAAAUAUCCAAGACCAGUCUCACAGAAAACCUGGAGCCCAGAAGCACUCCCUAAUGCCUUCUUUAAAAGAGACGCCACACGGCAAAGUAAAACAGCUGUUCAGAUUCAUCCUGAAAAAUGCCAAGAAGAGAAAUCUGCACAGGAAAGAGAACAAGGAAGGCAGAAAGGCAAUGUCAGAAGUGAAGAAGAGGAAGGAACAAGAACAGAAAUGGAAAAAGAAUAGUAGGAACAAAUGAAAAGGAAAAAGUGAAGGUAGCUCUGGAAAAGGAACAACAGAGGAGCAUGGAGGACAUGUGAUUAGUAAGGAUAAUGUUCUCAUUUGAGACAAGAUCUAUUGUUGUCUUUUCUUUUGCAAGCCAAGCACAUGCAUCCACACCUAAGGAUGUUUCAGCAUGAAAAAACAUAGAUAACAACAAAACAUCUUCUAGCAUUACAGAAGACCAACAACAGAGUGUUAAGAAGCCAGCAAUCUGCUUCAGCACUCCCGGGCAAAUUCCAAACUAGAGUAUAACAACACAAACCUUUUAAUCUCAAACAUGUGCAUAGAUAAAGUUCCAUCUUUUAGUAGUAUAUUAGAUUUUCCCUAAGUUUAGUAUUGCAUGUAUAUCUACUAAAUUAACUCCAUUUUUCUAAUACUUUCAUCCAUUUGUCAUUACUCUGAAUUCUGACUUUUCAAAGUCUUUGUUGAUAAUGAAAAAAAUCAGUAUCAAGUAUCUUCAGCCUACUUGUACCUAGUUUAUAGAGAGUUCAUGAAGAUGAUAUUUCACACUUUCCAUACAACACCAAAUCCACUAUAUUCUCUGACAAAAACCUCAGCACAUGGUUAUAAAGAUCUUGUAGUAAUGUAGGUUAUUCCUUAAUGAUAUAAGCAUAUUAUACAAAAAACCCAAACAACAAAACCCCAAAAAAACUAAAAAACGCACCAAAAAGAAAAAAAAAAGGCAUUAAGAGCACUUUUGCUCUUUACCUUUGCUGACACAGCUUUAGGGAAAAGACCAAUACCAAACCAAAUAAAUACUUGAGGCAAAGCUCUGGGAAACCGAUCAGUAUGAGAAGGAAGCUCUUGUGCAAUCUAAUCGUAACAUUUCUAUUCACCUUUUGGAACGUUCUGCUCACACAAAAUAGCGCAUUUGACACCAUCUCGCCACAUCGCGUCAAUCUGGUCAUUUGUCAUUGGAACGGCAUUUCCCGGGGACAACAGCGGCCUCCUCGGGUGGUCCCGAGGAGCUGCAGCCUACCUGGAAACGCCUGGACACACUGCAGCGCAUUCCCGGGAAAACAGGCAUCCCCGAGAACCCCAUUAGUAAAAGCAGCAUGUUUUAAUCACGUGUGUGAAAAGAAAUACUUUGAAAACCCUUUUUUUUUUUAUUUGUGCCAUGCCUUGCUUAACUUUAUUUCAAGGAAAGUAAAUAGGCGUUCAAGUCAAACUGCUGGACUGAGAACAUCAAGAUGACUGGAAAAUAUCUUGAAUCACACUCAGUGAGGUGGAAAACCUUUAGUUUUAUUUUCCUUCACUUCCCAUUCCCAGAAUAAGGAGAAUAUUCCUUUGCUUCAUGAACCUCCUUGACUUUCUUUGAUCCUCCCUGUGCUCUCAGUGUGAAUCCUCCUACAAAAAUAGCCCAUUUUACUGUCAUUCUGUUUUAUUUAAAUGUCAGCCAAGGCUUUCCAUUGCCUCAUUUGUUGCAUAGCCCGGGUUCUUGUUCUGGGUUUGUGUCCUUGUUACAUGAAGAUGCAUUCCAAUUUUUUCUUCCAGCUCUUACUUACUGAACUUUCCUAACUGUUCCUCCGUACUCCUUCAGCUCUUUUCUCCAAAUCUUUGUUCCAUAUAAGUCACAUACCUGUAUCCCAUAUUCCUCAUAUUCUUCUCAAAACCACAUGUGACAAAUGCAAUGCAGGUUUUUGCCCCCUUACAAACAGUGUGAAGGAAAGUAGAUAAUUUUUUUUUAAUAUUUCUGAACCAACCAGACAAUAUGCUACAUAACACUAAUCAGCACCCAUUCUCCCUUUAUUCUCUGUUCUCUCCCCUUCGCUUUGGCAAUCUGCUGAGCUCCUUGGGCUAGGAUCUGCUCUUCUGGCAAGAAUGCUCAGCAAACCCAAGGUUGCUAUAGCAAUUAAUAAUCAUUUACGUUUCAGUUUACAGAAACAGAAACUAGAGGAGUGGAGGUGCCAUGAGGAGGAGGUGGCAGCAAAGAAGUCACAAUUAGAGAAAACAGCACAAGAACAUAUUUGGCAGCAGCAGCAAGAUUACCACAGGAAGCUUCUGCAGUUCUAGAAGAAGCAACAGCUAGAGGAACAUGGAGCAGCAGAUGGUCUAUUGAAAGACUAAUGCUUACUUUAGCAGCAGAUAGUUCAUCAGAAUAGAUGAUUUCUGGUAAAGACACAGCCUGUGUGUCUGCCUUGAAAUUCCUGUGACACUACAUCCCAAACUUUUAGUACCUAAACUGCUGCUCUGUUAAACAGAUAUGGUAAUAAUAGUCCUCUCUGCCACAGUCCCUGCAGUGCAAAAAAAGAGGAAUUCCAUAGCCUAGCUACAAUGCCAUGUGUAAGAUUCCUGGCAAUAACAUCCAUGCUACAUCAUAGCAUGAAUCGUUUGUUUUCAUUAUGUUUUCUCUGAAAGCCCAACUCCCAGCAUGUGCCCUUAAAAAAAGAGGUUCUAACAAAGAGUUGCAGAGAAAGGCUUGAACAAAAAUCCAGUUACUCAUAUGAGACAAUAUUAAAUGCUUGUAAUGCCAGAA